GCAAAACGCGAAGAACCUUACCCACCUUUGACAUGUACGGAAUCCUUUAGAGAUAGAGGAGUGCUCGAAAGAGAGCCGUAACACAGGUGCUGCAUGGCUGUCGUCAGCUCGUGUCGUGAGAUGUUGGGUUAAGUCCCGCAACGAGCGCAACCCUUGCCAUUAGUUGCUACGAAAGGGCACUCUAAUGGGACUGCCGGUGACAAACCGGAGGAAGGUGGGGAUGACGUCAAGUCCUCAUGGCCCUUAUAGGUGGGGCUACACACGUCAUACAAUGGCUGGUACAAAGGGUUGCCAACCCGCGAGGGGGAGCUAAUCCCAUAAAGCCAGUCGUAGUCCGGAUCGCAGUCUGCAACUCGACUGCGUGAAGUCGGAAUCGCUAGUAAUCGUGGAUCAGAAUGUCACGGUGAAUACGUUCCCGGGUCUUGUACACACCG
rnacentral:rRNA from 1 species